CUAUAUAAGCUCCAGCCACAAGAUCGAUCAGCAUUAGCAUUACCAGCAACACAGCUUCGGCUUCAGUAGCAAUCGUCAGUAUGAAAGCGGCAACUGUCUUCCUCCUGGUGGCGCUGUUGGUGGCAGUGUGCCUCACCCAGAUGGCAUAUGCUGGCGGUGGUGGUGGCGACAAGGGACAUGGCGGUGGCCAUGGCGGUGGCCAUGGUGGUGGCCAUGGAGGUCAUGGCGGCCAUGGUGGCGGCCACGGUGGACACGGCGACCAUGGAGGAAAAGGCCAUGGAGGGAAAGGACACUGAGGGCACCAAGCAACGGCGCGAUCGUAGUUGUGAAUCACAACCUAAUCCCAGCUGCAUCAUGUGCAUAAACUGAGGAGGGUACUGAUAUUGCUAUAGCAAUUUAUCUGUUAUUUGUGAAUUCGUCUUUCUCUGCUUUAGCGAAUUAAUUUUGUGUGUAGACUGAGCAGAGCAGCUCACUGUAGUUGUGCUGGAGAGUGAAGUGUAACUACAAAAAUGUAGUUAAUUUUUUUAAAAAAGUGUAAAAUAAUUCACAAAAGCUCCGUUUUUAUUUCCCUUCACAGUAUUAUUUUUCCUGGUAAUACCGAAGAUCAUUCAGUUCAGAAAAUACAGCUGAGCAUCUGUGCUUAUGUCAGCGGCUGCCAACAUUGCUGUUCACUGCUCCUAAAUGGCUGUUGACUGAGCUUAAUAGAAAACAUUGGAAUACAAAUAUCCUCAAUCAGUGAAUUCCAUGUCCGAUUUCACUCAUAUCUCAGAGAUUUUGAGGUCCACAUUGUGGACUGUUUCACUUGUUCCCUUUGGUCUGAAUAUCGAAUGAUUAUGAAAGUUACAAAUUGAUGAAUUCGCAGCAUGCAAUUUAAACCUGUAUUGGGGUCAACUCUUUCUUGUAAAAAAUAAAUAAAAAUAAAAAAAUAAAAUUUUUUAA